ensembl:lncRNA
UCUCUCCCUCUCUUUACCUCCCUCUCCCUCUCUCCUUCUCUUGAGCCACACAUGAUAUUAUGGAGAUGCCAGUGAUCCUGACCCUUUCUGGUCUUCAGACCUGCCUGAUCCAUCCUGAUGAUCUACCUCUGGAUGGAGUUCUCAUCAACUGGAGGCUACAUUCUGCCACUGAGCACGACCCCAAGCAGUGCAGCCCGGAGAUUGCUGAGGACAGUGCCUGUUGAAGAACCAUGGAAAUGGUUUUGGACCUCAAUUUCACAUGGACAUUCUCGCUGUUGUUGCUGAAAUUACCUCAUAUAAUUUUGCACUCAAGUUGCCUUUAGUGAACAGUGGACUAGUACCACAAACAGACUUCAUAUAAAAACAUAAUUCACUUCCCUUUACUUUCACACCAUCCGUUGUUACCCAGAUGAGGACGGGUUCCCUUCUGAGUUUGGUUCCUCUCAAGGUUUCUUCCUCAUAUCAUCUUAAGGAGUUUUUCCUCGCCCCUAUCGCCACCGGCUCGCUCAGAUGGGGGCUCUUCUUAUUGCCCUUGUUCCUGUACAUCAGUAACAGCGUCUCCAGACCCCUCACCACAGCCUCAACAGGAACGGUGACAGGCCUGCAUAUCCUAAGUUUAACAUCUUUGGUGCAGCUAUAACAACCUUGACCUGAAAUAAC